UACCUGAUUGAUCCUGCCAUGAUCCAUAUGCUUGUCUCAAUGCUUGUCUCAA
rnacentral:rRNA from 1 species